CGCAAGCCUGACGGAGCAAGACCGCGUGGGGGAGGAAGGCUCUAGGGUUGUAAACCCCUUUUCUUUGGGAAGAACAAAAUGACGGUACCAAAGGAAUCAGCCUCGGCUAACUCCGUGCCAGCAGCCGCGGUAAUACGGAGGAGGCAAGCGUUAUCCGGAAUGAUUGGGCGUAAAGCGUCCGCAGGUGGCAAUGUAAGUCUGCUGUCAAAGACAGUAGCUCAACUACUGCAAGGCAGUGGAAACUGAAUAGCUAGAGUGCGGUAGGGGCAGAGGGAAUUCCCGGUGUAGCGGUGAAAUGCGUAGAGAUCGGGAAGAACACCGGUGGCGAAAGCGCUCUGCUGGGCCGCAACUGACACUGAGGGACGAAAGCUAGGGGAGCG
rnacentral:rRNA from 1 species